ACCCGAAACCCGGUGAUCUAGCCAUGGGCAGGUUGAAGGUUGGGUAACACUAACUGGAGGACCGAACCGACUAAUGUUGAAAAAUUAGCGGAUGACUUGUGGCUGGGGGUGAAAGGCCAAUCAAACCGGGAGAUAGCUGGUUCUCCCCGAAAGCUAUUUAGGUAGCGCCUCGUGAAUUCAUCUCCGGGGGUAGAGCACUGUUUCGGCAAGGGGGUCAUCCCGACUUACCAACCCGAUGCAAACUGCGAAUACCGGAGAAUGUUAUCACGGGAGACACACGGCGGGUGCUAACGUCCGUCGUGAAGAGGGAAACAACCCAGACCGCCAGCUAAGGUCCCAAAGUCAUGGUUAAGUGGGAAACGAUGUGGGAAGGCCCAGACAGCCAGGAUGUUGGCUUAGAAGCAGCCAUCAUUUAAAGAAAGCGUAAUAGCUCACUGGUCGAGUCGGCCUGCGCGGAAGAUGUAACGGGGCUAAACCAUGCACCGAAGCUGCGGCAGCGACACUAUGUGUUGUUGGGUAGGGGAGCG
rnacentral:rRNA from 1 species